CGGGCAUGCAGCAAAAACAAACCCGUGAAUUAGAGUAUGAUGAAGUUUUGUGUAGUUGCAACAACACUGUUUUUUGUUGCGGUGUUAUCGGCGCGGCACGGCUCACCACGUGGCGGUGUCAGUGUUGGGAUUUGGAAGAGAUAAAGCUUUGGGUGGUACUAAUUUGUGUUUUUUUUUGUGCUGGGAGCUUUUUGAAGUCUGUGAGGUAGCUUGGAUGUUCAGGCCACUUUGAUAGUCCAAGAUGCUGUCUGGUACUAAUGUACGCAAGAAGCGACCAGCAGCUGUUACUUCUGGACGAAGGAGGAAAGUGGCGAAAACUGUUCAGGAUCUCUAUUUUGUGGAAAGAAUAUUAGCCCACCAGUGGAAAGACGGCAACAUGAUGUACCUCAUCAAGUGGCAAGGUUUCAGGAUGCCUACGUGGGAGCCAGCGCAGAACCUGAAUCCUGUGAUCCUUCAAAAGUACCACGGUAAGAGCCAUACAUUAUGCAUUCCAGUUAGCUAAACAAAUCUACGGCUUGUGUUUUUUAUUGGGUUUAGGUGCAUGCAAUUGUGACUUAAAAGAGCGUUUAAUUUUUCAGUCGUUGCUUGUUUUGUUGUGCUUUAUCCCAUGUUUGGUUUUUGAUGGACUCCAUCCUUUAUAAGAGCUUUCUACAUCAAUUUAUGAUGCGAUUUUGUUUUCUUGAACGCUGCGAAAGUCAGUGGGUGGUUUCCCCAGGGCGUGUGACUGGUCUGCCCAUUGCGUGUCAUAUGAGCCAAAUGAUGUGGCAGUCGGGUGCCCCUAAAACCAAAAUCAUUAAUUGCCGUGUGUG
rnacentral:lncRNA from 1 species